CCUACGGGAGGCAGCAGUGAGGAAUAUUGGUCAAUGGGCGCGAGCCUGAACCAGCCAAGUCGCGUGAUGGAAGACGGUCCUAUGGAUUGUAAACCUCUUUUGUCGGGGAGCAAAAGACGCCACGCGUGGCGUUCCGAGAGUACCAGAAGAAAAAGAAUCGGCUAACUCCGUGCACGCGGCGGCGGUAAUACGGAGGAGGCGAGCGUAAUCCGGAUUUAGGGGGGUUAAAGGGUGCGCAGGCGGAAGAUCAAGUCAGCGGUAAAAUUGAGAGGCUCAACCUCUUCGAGCCGUUGAAACUGGUUUUCUUGAGUGAGCGAGAAGUAUGCGGAAUGCGUGGUGUAGCGGUGAAAUGCAUAGAUAUCACGCAGAACUCAGAUUGCGAAGGCAGCAUACCGGCGCUCAACUGACGCUCAUGCACGAAAGUGUGGGUAUCGAACAGGAUUAGAUACCCGGGUAGUC
rnacentral:rRNA from 1 species